rnacentral:lncRNA from 1 species
GACAGUUUAAGCCCAGCAUAGUCUAUAUGGUGAGUUCAAGGCCAGCAAAAGCUACAGAGUGAGACCCUGUCUCCAAAUAAGGAGAAAGAUUAGUAAAAGUAUUGAUACCAGUAUAUAAAAUGCCAUAAUGUGAUAUCAGCUUUUAAGGGAAAAUUCCAUGCUAUUUAGAACAUUAUGAUAGAUGACAUUUAUCUAAAUGGGAUUUACAAGACAUUACAGUUGAGAUUGAGAAUACCGCGUGUUAAGUGAAGUGUCCCUUGAUGUGCAUUUGCAGAAUAUAUUAUCAGUGAUUGACAGAAGGAAGUAAAAGAACUAGGCAGUCCUGUGUUUAAAAAAAAACAUAAAAACAAACACAGGGACUAAAAGUUGAAGAGAAUUUGCUAGUGCUGAGGAUGUCACUGUACUUUAUACGUCAGAGUAUGACAUUUUAUUUUUGCAUCAUAAAGAAGGUAAAGUUAGUUUGUUCCUCAAGAGUAGAAACAGAAAAGAGUAAUUGGACUUUGCAUUGCUCAGCCAUUACACUCCGAGUGCAUUUUGUAUGAUGUGUGUGUCUUUUGUCACCGUUUGCUUUGUUCUUUCCUUUUUUUUUUCUUUUCUUUUUUUACAGGGCCCAGUAAAUCCUUUAGGGCCACCAGUACCCCAUGGACCUCAUGGGGUUCCAGGUCCUCAUGGGCCUCCUGGACCUCCAGGGCCUGGAACUCCAAUGGGGCCAUACAACCCUGCACCUUAUAAUCCAGGACCUCCUGGCCCAGCUCCUCAUGGUCCUCCAGCCCCAUAUGCUCCCCAGGGAUGGGGAAAUGCAUAUCCACAUUGGCAGCAGCAGGCUCCUCCUGACCCAGCUAAGGCAGGAACGGAUCCAAACUCGGCAGCUUGGGCUGCCUAUUAUGCCCACUAUUACCAGCAGCAGGCACAGCCCCCGCCUGCAGCUCCUGCUGGAGCACCAACCACAACCCAGACUAAUGGACAAGGAGAUCAGCAGAAUCCAGCUCCAGCUGGACAAGUUGAUUAUACAAAGGCUUGGGAAGAGUACUACAAGAAAAUGGGU